CUACUAGUAAAACCCAAAGCAUUGUUUUGACAAGUACUGUCAUAUUUCGGUUGCAGGUUUUCAUUAAAUACCAAGUAAGGUCGACUCCAUGGGUCAGCUAAAAAUACCCGAAAAUCGUCAAAAAUCUCAAAUUUUCCUGAACUAAAAAAAUCACGAUUUUGGUCAAAUCCGACUUUUGGCUAAAAACACGUCAUUCCAAGGCAGAAAAACUAGAUGGCGUUUAUGUGUGUCUAUGAUAAAUAUUACGAGUGACAAGUUAAAUGGGUGUUUGUUACGUUUAUACCUGUUUAGUGCUUCAAAGGAUUUUUCGUCAAAAAAAUUGCGGGUUUUGCCUUGUCAGCUGCUGAACCAGUAGCCUGCAUUCCUGCUAUCAAUGUACCACAAGGGAUGCUGACACUUUAAGAAGAACAACAGUGACCACUAUGCCCGAGACAUGAACAUCACCAUCCUGUUCAGAGUCUUCAUCUACUAUGUAUUGCUAACCAUCAGCCUUCAGCAUCCCAUGUAUCCAGAUUUUGAAGCUUCUCUGCUUAGCCAACCAUCCUCCAUACACUUCAACUCUUCAUUGUGGCUUCUCUUCUUUUCUUCUUAGCCUGCCGAAUGCAAACAGGAAUAAAGGUUCAUAUCCAUUGAUGCCAUAUCAUGAAAUUGAAAAUGUCAUCGUUAAUCCUGCUGCCAAAUCGUCUUUCCGUACGAGUCAUGCAGUUUUAGAUUUCUCGUGGAAUUUCCUUGCAAAAUCCACCCAGGCUUAAAAGGGCAUCCUACCAGUUGUUGUCAUACCUGCCUCGCCGUCUUCGCCUUACCGUCAUUGCCGCAUAAUCUUUGCUCGCGCCCGGCUUCUCUUCAUCGCCGUCAUCGUGGAACGUCGCGUUUUUGGUAUUUUGAUUUGUUGGUGUUUUGUUUUGUUUUGUGUUGUUUUGUAUUGUUGUAUAGUGUAUGUUUAAAGUUAACCCGUUGGCUGCCACCCAUUUUGCUCCCCUUUUUUUUUUAGUUGUAGGGACCGGCGGCGCUGUUCUGCCCCAUGGUUGAUCACCCAUGGGGUGGGGCAGUCGCCUUGCGCCUUAGGGCGCCGUAGGCAAUGCACCAGUAGGGACUUUCCCUUGUCGAUGCGAUGGUGGAGUACCUGGGGUGUGCAUUCCCGUAAAGGUCUCCAUCGUCAAGUCAGCCCGGACUUGUCUUCGGACAAGUCCCCCUUUCAUCGGAUCCCUCUGAAACGAUGCGUAGCUAUUGUAGAAGAACAACCUAUGGGUUGUAAUGGCUUGGCAGCCAACGGGUUAACUUAAGUGUUUGUAUUCCUAUGCAUGUAUGUAUUGUAUUUAUUUUAUAAUGUGUGAUGUAAAACUGUGGUGGAAUUGUGGGUGGAGGUGGGAUAAUACAAAACCAAUUUCAUUUA
rnacentral:lncRNA from 1 species